UUAAAGUUUUAUUCUAGCUUAAUAGAUUGAUUAAUAAUUUUUUUAUAUGUAAAUUUUUGUAAAAAUUUAAUUUAAAUAAUUAAUUAUUUUUGCAGUAAUUAAUUUUAUAAAUAAAGUAACCUUUGAUUUAGAAAUUUAUUUAAAUUUUAACAAAUUUUGUGCCAGCAGUUGCGGUUAAACAAAUAAUAUAAUUAAUUUUUAUUAGUAAAUGAUAAAUAGUUAAAAUAUAAUUGAAAUUUAAAUUUAGUAAGUGAAAUUUUAAAUUUAAUAAAAGUUAUUUAUUUUUAAUAUAAUUCAUUAAAUUUUUUAUAAAACUAGGAUUAGAUACCCUAUUAUUUUAAAUGUAAAUUUUUUACUAAAUUAGUAUUUGUUAUUUUCAUGAAAAUUAAAGAAUUUGGCGGUAUUUUAGUCUUUUCAGAGGAACCUGUUCUAUAAAUGAUAAUCCACGAUUUAUUUUACUUAAUUUAAAUAAUUUGUAUAUCGCUGUAGUUGAAUAUUUUAAAAGAACUUUAAUAUUCAUGAUUUUUUUAAAUAAAUACAUCAAGUCAAGGUGCAGUUUAUAAUUAAGAUGUAAUGGGUUACAAUAAAAUUAUUUAUUAUGGAUUAAAAAAUGAAAUUUUUUUUUGAAAGAGGAUUUGAAAGUAAUAAGAAAUAAUUUUUUUUUAUGAUUUAAGCUCUAAAAUAUGCACAUAUCGCCCGUCGCUCUCAUUUUAUUUGAGAUAAGUCGUAACAAAGUAGAUGUACUGGAAAGUGUAUCUAGAAAUCA
rnacentral:ncRNA from 1 species